GAUGAACGCUGGCGGCGUGGAUAAGGCAUGCAAGUCAAACGAUCCUUGUGUUUACAUAAGGGUAGUGGCAAACGGGGUAGUAACAGGUAGGAACAUACCCAUGAGUCAUGAAUAACUAUAGGAAACUAUAGCUAAUACAUGAUAUCCCUACGGGGGAAAGAUUUAUCGCUCAUGGAAUGGCCUGCUUCGUAUCAGCUAGUUGGUAGUGUAAUGGACUACCAAGGCUAUGACGCGUAGGGGAGCUGAGAGGCUGACCCCCACCAUUGGAACUGCGACACGGUCCAA
rnacentral:rRNA from 1 species